AUUGAACGCUGGCGGCAGGCCUAACACAUGCAAGUCGAGCGGCAGCAGAGUGCUUGCUCCUUGAUUCAGCUGCGGACGGGUGAGUAAUGCCUAGGUACCUGCCUAGUUGUUUGGGAUAACGUCCGGACACGGGCGCUAAUACCGCAUACCUCCUGAGGACGUAAGUGUGGGAUCUUCGGACCUCCCGCUAUUGGAUGAGCCUAGGUCGGAUUAGCUAGUUGGUGGGGUAAAGGCCUACCAAGGCGACGAUCCGUAACUGGUCUGAGAGGAUGAUCAGUCACACUGGAACUGAGACACGGUCCAGACUCCUACGGGAGGCAGCAGUGGGGAAUAUUGGACAAUGGGCGAAAGCCUGAUCCAGCCAUGCCGCGUGGGUGAAGAAGGCCUUCGGGUUGUAAAGCACUUUUGGUGGGGAGGAAGGGCAGUAAGUUAAUACCUUGCUGUUUUGACGGUACCAAAAGAAUAAGCACCGGCUAACUUCGUG
rnacentral:rRNA from 1 species